rnacentral:snRNA from 1 species
UAGACCUAUUAAGUUAUCUUCU